rnacentral:lncRNA from 1 species
AUGGACUGUUCUCCAUACUCGGUACCGGUGCAUCAAGGCUCAGACAAACAGACUCGUAAACAGCUUCUGCCUCCUGGCCAUAAGACUGUUAAAUGGCUGACAACUACUGCUCUCUCUCUCCCACAGACUAUCCAAACUGACUCUAUGCCCAUCCACAGGGCUCCACCCACUGAGACACAACAUACGCUGAUGCUAAAAUUAUUAUUGAUUACCAUAAGUAUUUAUCUAUUUAUCCUGCUACUGGUCACUAUUACUCCUGUUUACAUGUAUAUAUUACCACUAGUAUACAGCAUUACCAUAAUUAUUUAUAUAUUUAUCCUGCUACUGGU